CUCAGGGGAGAUGCUGUUUUUUUUUUCACAUUCUCAAACCAUUUAAUCAAGGUUAAAUAAGCCGACAAUAGACAAGACUUUGGCUGAUAAACCGAGAAGUGGCCACCUGGUAAUUUUACCUGCCUUGUUUAUCAAUUAAAGCCUUCAGUAAUCUCCUGUUUAACAACUAAAAUAAGGAGAGAUAACAGUGACACUUGGAGUUCUGAGACAGGUAAACCGAUACAAGGUGGAACUGCCUGGCCCCCCCUCCAUGGACCAUGCUCAAAUGCAGCAGAAGACAUUGGGCAAGAGAGUGCCCCAUCCCAGCGUUCCUUUGAGACCUUACCCCAGGGCUACUGGACUGUCCUAGCCACCAGAGAGUGGAUAAGCCAUCCUAAAUUCCAGCCCUCACAGGAAAUGCCAACACUGCCAGAUUCAUCACUGACAGAUGUGUUUGGACUUGUUGCUGAAGACUGACGGGGCUCAGGGCCAACAACAGCCACCUUAUGGAUGUCCGUCUCAGAGUCCAAGUCCCACUAAAAUCUCAGUCUAAUGUACGUGAAUUCACCAGUGAAGUUGUCCUGCCCAAAACACCUGGCACCAGCGUCUACCUGGGCAUCAACCGUCAUCCCAUCAUUCCCCUAGACUCUAGUACAGCGCCCCCUGCCAGCAGGAAUCAGUAAAGAAAGAAAUCUUCACCCCUUUUCAUAAUAAUAAUCAUAAGAUAGGAUAUGAAAGAGUUUUGGCCCAGACAGGACACUGUAGCUGGUAAAGCCUCAGACGGAACCAAGGAGCUCCAUCUCCCCCACCCCUAGGAAUUUAGCUAUGGUGCCAAACCAGUGCCAAUGAGAUACCCGUGCAUCACUAAUGCCCCUUAGGUUCCACCCCCAAUCCUAGGCUACUUAUAUGCCUC